UACGUAGGUGGCAAGCGUUGUCCGGAUUUACUGGGCGUAAAGAGCGCGCAGGCGGUCGUUCAAGUCGCGUGUGAAAGCCCCCGGGCUCAACUGGGGAGGGUCACGCGAUACUGAUCGACUCGAAGGCAGGAGAGGGAAGUGGAAUUCCCGGUGUAGUGGUGAAAUGCGUAGAUAUCGGGAGGAACACCAGUGGCGAAGGCGACUCCUGGCCUGUUCUUGACGCUGAGGCGCGAAAGCGUGGGGAGCAA
rnacentral:rRNA from 1 species